rnacentral:rRNA from 1 species
GACAAUCCUAGAGAUAGGACGUCCCCUUCGGGGGCAGAGUGACAGGUGGUGCAUGGUUUUCGUCAGCUCGUGUCGUGAGAUGUUGGGUUAAGUCCCGCAACGAGCGCAACCCUUGAUCUUAGUUGCCAGCAUUCAGUUGGGCACUUUAAGGUGACUGCCGGUGACAAACCGGAGGAAGGUGGGGAUGACGUCAAAUCAUCAUGCCCCUUAUGACCUGGGCUACACACGUGCUACAAUGGGCAGAACAAAGGGCAGCGAAACCGCGAGGUUAAGCCAAUCCCACAAAUCUGUUCUCAGUUCGGAUCGCAGUCUGCAACUCGACUGCGUGAAGCUGGAAUCGCUAGUAAUCGCGGAUCAGCAUGCCGCGGUGAAUACGUUCCCGGGCCUUGUACACACCGCCCGUCACACCACGAGAGUUUGUAACACCCGAAGUCGGUGAGGUAACCUUUUUGGAGCCAGCCGCCGAAGGUGGGACAGAUGAUUGGGGUGAAGUCGUAACAAGGUAGCCGUU